GGGGGUCGCCCCAAGGGAACCAAAAACAAACCCAAAAUAAGUCACAACUCUCCAGCGCCAUCUUGAGGCCUGAUGAGAUAAAAACAAGAGGUGAAACAAGAGAUGGACGAGCUGCCUAUCGCGGACAAGAAUUGAACACUGGUUGAACGCUGUGAAGCCAGAGAGCUACGACCCAGAGAUGGGUAACACCAAGGGACCUCCUACAGAGAGCGACCCCAAGACAGAUGCACAUCACCUGGGUAUCAAGACAGAGGAUGCCCCCUGUAUUCUCAAGAUGGAAGGAGACGCCUGCGGUCGGCUACCAGCCAGCCAUCAAUCUGGCUGCAUUCCGGUCCGACCCAGAAUGGCGGCCUCGCAACCAGAAGGUCCGCCGGUUUCUGUGCCCAGAUUGUGGACGGAAGUUCUUCUCCAAAACCACGCUGGAGUUCCCACUCCCGGAUCCACAACAAGUACCGGCCGUACUCCUGCGAGGUGUGCCAUAAGACGUUCUCCCGGAAAGCCGGCUUGGACGAACACCGGCCAAUCCACGAUGCGGAACGUCCUUUCGCCUGCCACCAAUGUGGCAGGACCUUCACGUUCAAAUCCAA